rnacentral:rRNA from 1 species
UACGUAGGGUGCAAGCGUUGUCCGGAAUUAUUGGGCGUAAAGAGCUCGUAGGCGGUCUGUCGCGUCGGCUGUGAAAUCUCGGGGCUCAACCCCGAGCCUGCAGUCGAUACGGGCAGACUAGAGUCCGGCAGGGGAGACUGGAAUUCCUGGUGUAGCGGUGAAAUGCGCAGAUAUCAGGAGGAACACCGGUGGCGAAGGCGGGUCUCUGGGCCGGAACUGACGCUGAGGAGCGAAAGCGUGGGGAGCAAACAGG